rnacentral:lncRNA from 1 species
AACAUUUGAGAUUGUCAAAGCUUAGAAGGACUUUUAGUUGUCGAACCAUAACUGGAACAGAUGCUCUCAUGGUUGCUAGUUGGUUUAAAGAUGUGGCUUUCAUCUUCUUCAUGGACAUUUCAUCAAACACUUGAAGGGCAGGUUGCAGCAACUAUAGGCAUCAAUACUUGGCUUUGCAGUGAAAGCUUCCUUGAUUGACGGUGUCGGAACAACAUUACAACCAGUUAAGAAAGAAGAGUCCCUAGCAAUAUUCUUCAUCUCUGAAUUUGAAUCUACAAUUACUUUGGCUUCAACAUGUGUCUUCUUUGUGUCCUCAUUGCCAGGCAACAUUG